GACGAACGCUGGCGGCGUGCCUAAUACAUGCAAGUAGAACGCAGUUGCGAACGGUUGAGUAACGCGUAGGUCACUGCCUGGUAGCGGGGGCUAACUAUUGGAAACGAUAGCUAAUACCGCAUACUACCAGAUGGACCUGCGUUGUAUUUGCUAGGUGGUCGGGUAACGGCUCACCAAGGCAACGUUACAUAGUCGACCUGGGAGGGUGGUCCGCCACACCGGGACUGGGACACGGCCCAGACUCCUACGGGAGGCAGCAGUAGGGGAUCUUCGGCAAUGGGGGGAACCCUGGCCGAGCCACGCCGCGUGAGUGAAGAAGGUUUUCGGAUCGUAAAGCUCUGUUGUUAAGGGAGCGGUACUUAACCAGAAAGGACCGGCUAACUCCGUGCCAGCAGCCGCGGUAAUAC
rnacentral:rRNA from 1 species